rnacentral:rRNA from 1 species
AACGCUGGCGGCGUGCUUACACAUGCAAGUCGAGUGCGCGUCCGUAGCAAUACGGAUGGCGCACGGCGCACGGGUGCGUAACACGUGGGCAAUCUGCCCUCGGAUGGGGGAUAACCCCGCGAAAGCGGGGCUAAUACCGCAUGACAUUCCGGCGACUCCGGUCGCUGGACUCAAAGGCCGCAAGGCCGUCUGAGGAGGAGCCCGCGCCCGAUUAGCUAGUUGGUGAGGUCACGGCUCACCAAGGCAAUGAUCGGUAGCCGGUCUGAGAGGAUGGCCGGCCACACUGGAACUGAGACACGGUCCAGACUCCUACGGGAGGCAGCAGUGGGGAAUAUUGCGCAAUGGGCGAAAGCCUGACGCAGCGACGCCGCGUGGGGGAUGAAGCUUCUCGGAGUGUAAACCCCUUUCGAUCCGGACGAAUGACCCGCAAGGGUUUGACGGUACGGGUAUAAGAAGCCCCGGCUAACUACGUGCCAGCAGCCGCGGUAAUACGUAGGGGGCCAGCGUUGCUCGGAAUUACUGGGCGUAAAGGGUUCGUAGGUGGUGCGGCAAGUUGGGAGUGAAAUCUCUGGGCU